CCUACGGGUGGCAGCAGUGAGGAAUAUUGGUCAAUGGGCGAGAGCCUGAACCAGCCAAGUCGCGUGAAGGAUGAAGGAUCUAUGGUUUGUAAACUUCUUUUAUAUGGGAAUAAAAUGUUCCACGUGUGGGAUUUUGUAUGUACCAUAUGAAUAAGGAUCGGCUAACUCCGUGCCAGCAGCCGCGGUAAUACGGAAGGCCCGAGCGUUAUCCGGAUUCAUUGGGCUUAAAGGGAGCGUAGGCGGGCGUUCAAGUCAGCUGUAAAAUCGCGCGGCUCAACCGCGCCCCGCAGUUGAAACUGGACGCCUUGAGUUCACAACAGGCAGGCGGAAUUCGUGGUGUAGCGGUGAAAUGCAUAGAUAUCACGAGGAACCCCGAUUGCGAAGGCAGCCUGCCGGGGUGCGACUGACGCUGAGGCUCGAAGGUGCGGGUAUCAAACAGGAUUAGAUACCCCUGUAGUC
rnacentral:rRNA from 1 species